rnacentral:rRNA from 1 species
UACGUAGGGGGCAAGCGUUGUCCGGAUUUAUUGGGCGUAAAGAGCGUGUAGGCGGCCACACAGGUCAGCUGUGAAAACUCGAGGCUCAACCUCGAGACGUCGGUUGAAACCGUAUGGCUAGAGUCCGGUAGGGGAGUGUGGAAUUCCCGGUGUAGCGGUGAAAUGCGCAGAUAUCGGGAGGAACACCGAUGGCGAAGGCAGGUCUCUGGGCCACUACUGACGCUGAGAAGCGAAAGCAUGGGGAGCGAACAGG